rnacentral:rRNA from 1 species
CGGGCGUUAAGUUGCAGGGUAUAGACCCGAAACCCGGUGAUCUAGCCAUGGGCAGGUUGAAGGUUGGGUAACACUAACUGGAGGACCGAACCGACUAAUGUUGAAAAAUUAGCGGAUGACCUGUGGCUGGGGGUGAAAGGCCAAUCAAACCGGGAGAUAGCUGGUUCUCCCCGAAAGCUAUUUAGGUAGCGCCUCGUGAAUUCAUCUCCGGGGGUAGAGCACUGUUUCGGCUAGGGGGCCAUCCCGGCUUACCAACCCGAUGCAAACUGCGAAUACCGGAGAAUGUUAUCACGGGAGACACACGGCGGGUGCUAACGUCCGUCGUGAAGAGGGAAACAACCCAGACCGCCAGCUAAGGUCCCAAAGUCAUGGUUAAGUGGGAAACGAUGUGGGAAGGCCCAGACAGCCAGGAUGUUGGCUUAGAAGCAGCCAUCAUUUAAAGAAAGCGUAAUAGCUCACUGGUCGAGUCGGCCUGCGCGGAAGAUGUAACGGGGCUAAACCAUGCACCGAAGCUGCGGCAGCGAACGUAUCACCCAAGACAACUUUACGGAGUUGACGAUUGACGGAGCGAAGCGACGUCAAAGCGUUCAUUAAAGUCGAGUUGGCUUAGGGAUACGUUCGUUGGGUAGGGGAGCGUUCUGUAAGCCUGUGAAGGUGUGUCGUGAGGCAUGCUGGAGGUAUCAGAAGUGCGAAUGCUGACAUAAGUAACGAUAAAGCGGGUGAAAAGCCCGCUCGCCGGAAGACCAAGGGUUCCUGUCCAACGUUAAUCGGGGCAGGGUGAGUCGACCCCUAAGGCGAGGCCGAAAGGCGUAGUCGAUGGGAAACGGGUUAAUAUUCCCGUACUUGGUGUUACUGCGAAGGGGGGACGGAGAAGGCUAUGUUGGCCGGGCGACGGUUGUCCCGGUUUAAGCGUGUAGGUGUGUGUUCCAGGUAAAUCCGGUUCACUUUAACACUGAGGCGUGACGACGAGGCACUACGGUGCUGAAGCAACAAAUGCCCUGCUUCCAGGAAAA